rnacentral:rRNA from 1 species
GACGAAGGGUGCGAGCGUUGUCCGGAAUCAUUGGGCGUAAAGAGCUCGUAGGCGGCUUGUCGCGUCGGCUGUGAAAACCUGGGGCUCAACCCCGGGCCUGCAGCCGAUACGGGCAAGCUAGAGUUCGGUAGGGGAGACUGGAAUUCCUGGUGUAGCGGUGAAAUGCGCAGAUAUCAGGAGGAACACCGGUGGCGAAGGCGGGUCUCUGGGCCGAUACUGACGCUGAGGAGCGAAAGCGUGGGGAGCAAACAGG